UUGCGCGAAGUGCAGGAAGGUGCUACCAGAACCUAGCUACUCAGCUCAGCUCAGCUUCACAAAGUGGACGAAGAAGGCUUAACGCUGUCGAAGAUCGUUUUCGCAGCUCAAUACCGGUUAGCAAGAUCGACAGUAGCACGGCUAAUGGUCGCGGUGACCAUGGACGCAGUGCGUUGCUGCUCGCUCGCUACUCAGAGCUAAUGUGCUUUAUGUGGGUAUGUGUUUGUGUGCGACACUAAAAUUAUAGUGCAGGGUGAGUUUAACUUUCAUACUAUGCCACUUGGAACGUCGUAGCGCAAAAGAUGCUCUUUCUCACCUUCUGAAAUACGAAAUAAAAAAAAAAAUUAAAAAUUCUGAAAAAUUCCAAGUGAAAGUUUGUUAAAAUUGCGGUGAUAGUAAGAAAAUCUAUAAAAAAAUACACAUAGAAAGUUGCUGAAGUUGCUUCUUACUGCUUCCAAUUUCUAUUUGCUUCUCCUAUUCUUCCAUCUCCUUGGCCAUGCAAGCUUCAGCUGGCGAGUAGUGCAGUGCUUCGAAAGUAAAAAAAAAAUGGAAAGAUGAAAAGUGACUGCAUAAAAGUGCAAAAAUAAAUCAAAUAAAAAAAUAAAUGUAAUCCUUACCAUCGCUGCGAAGUGCAUAAAAUCGUUUGCCACUGCGGCCAUUAAUGUUAAUGACGUAAAGUGAAAAUUUCAGUAGCCACCAGCAACCUUUGCGGCUGUCCUCUUCAACUUUUCGACGCUUUCAUUUACCAACACUUUCGUCGUCGACUACUACGUUUUAUGUUUUGCCUUUGGCGUAUUUUAAUGGUGAAGUGUUACCAUGACGUUGAUCGUCGAAUUUUAUGUUUGUGUAAAAAACCUUGGCUAAAUAUUGUGCAACUGAAUUAAAUACGACAGCAAUAAAUUUUAAGUAGCUGACAAAAAACGAAAAUGUUUCAAAGGCGUUAAUUUAAUUGUUCGAAAUAACGAAUUGCAGUUAAUCUACUACUAAUAAUAAUGUACAUAUAUACGUGAUGUUU